ACGAUGCAGUUUUGUGCACUAAAUUCGCAUCGCACACCUGGUGGUUAGUUCGUUUGUUUGUUGAGUGCGUAUUUAUGCAUCAGUGUGUUUACCUCGCGUUGAGAGUGGAGACGUACUUUUCAUUCUCGAAUAUCUCAUAAACUAAAAGUGAUAGAACAGAAGGCAUUAAACAUUCUUAACUAAGUGUUUAAUCAAUUUUUUUCGAAAAUUUUCGGUUACGGACAUCUUCUAAAUUACAAGUGUUAGUGAUAGUGCCCAUUGGUUUGAAGACAACGAGACUUCGGAAAAUUUUAUAUAAGGUCUGCAAUCGAGGCAAAUACUUUGGGAUUUAUUGACGAAGACGCCAAUGUCGGCAAUGUCGCCAUUAUCUGACGAGAUAAUCGAAUUCGCAUCGGUGAAUCUGAGUUCCGCACCGAAAGCUUCGAUGUGAAGGCGCCGGGCGAAUUAGGACGGGCGUGCUUCUUGAGUCCCUUUUUACCCUCAACGGUCGGCAAAGGGAUCAUUAAUUUCGAGAAAGCAAUCGGCACACAAAGAUGAUAAAGAAAACCCGUCUACGUGACUUCUCAACCGGCAACAAGCACCUCUGUCUUAAUUUGCGGGAUACGAAAUAUAGGUAACUUUGGCUACGGUUCUGGUUUGUCGCAUUUCCUGGAUCGGAGAACAAUUUAUUCCACUUCUUUUAUUAUGGGAGGAUUCUGUAGAAAAUGGAAAAUGCAGUUGUUACAGCACAUGAAAAGAAGUAUUUCUUGUUUCCAUCUCUUAAGGUUGCCUAUAUUCAAAUUGUCAAUGAAUUUGGCAUCGCUCAAAAAAUAUGAAUCAAUAACUGAAGAUAAACAUGUACAAUUCUGUUUGGAAAUAUAGAGGAAAGCGGGGAAGAAGAACUUUGCUUUGCAGACAACUGAGGUCCAGUGGUAUGCAAAGGCGCGCAUGGUCGCUGGGGCAUACUUUUACAUUGUUGGUCGUGAUCCUGCAGGUGUCCCACAUCCACUUGGCAAAGAAGGAUCGUCUUUUGCUGGUUGAAGAAGACUCCCGGAUUAUCGUCGGUUGAAAUAAUAUCAUUCCGUGUAGCUGCAUAUAACGCCAAGCUUUGUAAAAUGGAUUUCCUUGACUUCUAGCAGGAAGGAUGAUUUUGAUUUUAUUUCGGGCACUCGCAUGCGAGGCUUGGCAAGAUCCGGGAUCAACUCACCACAAGGAUUCAUGUCACCGAAAACCUGGUAAAUAUUAUCUACAUGCCAUCAGAACUUAAAAAAUAAUUGAAAUAUGUACAUUUAUAAAUAUCUAUUAUCUAUCUAAAUAUGAACUGUUGUACGUUAGUUGCACUAAUAGUAAACUGUAUUUUUUUUUGUAAUUUUAUUUGCUUCCGAAAAUGGUCUCCAGCUUGCAAUUAAUUAGCUGACGUUGGGAGCGCCGUAAAAAUACUGUCUAGUGUGCGAGUUGUGAUAUCCAGGUAUAGUUUAGAUACACGAAUAUUUGUAUAUUUGUAAACAAUUUUUUGUUGAGCCUAUCGCAAUAGCCACACCGCGUGACGUCGUGGUCGUUUCAGAGCGCGCAUUCAGUUCCACUCCGGUUGCCGAGCGAAACAUGCGUGUUCAUCGCGACUAGUUUUAUCUCUUCUUAAUAUAAAUUGAUCGUAAAUCGAUUUAUAUACAAUAAAAGAACGACGACGUUUAUUAGAAUUGCGCGUGAUCGGAAUUUCGCCAGAUAAUAAGCACGAGUGAACUACUGUCGGUCGUCGGGAAUAUUUUUCGCGUGUGGAUUAUACUGCACUUGUGUUGGCCUGCAUGUGCACGGCGUGCGUGUCCGUCGGCUAUCGGUUAUUGCCCAGAAUAACUUGGAUUUAUGUUUAAUGCGCAUAAGUAUACAACGGAUGUGCCUGGAGAAGAUACGCUUACAAGGACCCUGGAGUUCCAAAUAUUCAUCGCAGAAGAGUUGCAAAUGUGCGCAUAUUUUAAGGCAAGUUUUCCGCCGCAUUUAAUAG